GGAGAGGCUCUCUCUGCAUUCAGAUCGCAGAGACAGCCUCUCACUGCGAUCAGACUGAGCAGAUCGCGGUCACUGACCGCAGGGGACUGCCUGGGGGGCCAGGCAUGUCCCCCGACCGCGAUCUGCUUCAGGAGAAUGCGGCUGGCAACAUGUGUCAGCCGAUUUUAAAAAUCGGCUGACACAUGGUAAAUACUGAUGUCACUGCGAUCGGAAGCUGC